AUGAGGUUCCCUGCUCAGCUCCUGGGGCUGCUAAUGCUCUGGGUCCCUGGACCAAGUGGGGAUAUUGUGAUGAUCCAGACUCCACUCUCCUUGCCUGUCACCACUGGAGAACCAGUCCCCAUCUCCUGCAGGUCUAGUCAGAGCCUCUUGCCCAAUGAUGGAUACACCUAUUUGUUUUGGUUCCUGCAGAAGCCAGGCCAGUCUCCACAGCUCCUGAUCUAUUUUGUUUCCUACCGGGCCUCUGGAAUCCCAGACAGGUUCAGUAGCAGUGGGUCAGGCACUGAUUUCGCACUGAAAGUCAGCAGAGUGGGGGCUGAGGAUACUGGGGUUUAUUACUGCAUGCAAGCUCCACAGUUUCCUUCCACAGUGCUACAGCCCUGA